CCCUCUCCUGCUGCUUAAGUAUUUACAACUAUCUGUCUAUCUAUCUAUCUAUUUAUUCAUUUAUUUAUUUUUCUAUAAAUAAAUCGACUCGAGUUCUUUCUAAUUUUGGUGGGAAAAAAACACUAGCUGGCCAGCGCCCAGAGUACGCUUCCUAGAAAGAAGACUGAAAAGGGAAAUGGAGUGUGCGCAUGCGCACUGCCCAAUCAGAGCAUGCGGCAGGAGCAUUUAUCAGUUCCCGACAUUCCAGAAGGUCUUCCGUUGUUUUUGUGGAUUAAUCGGAUUUUAUUCUUCACCAUGCGCGCGAUCAUGAAGCUCCUCAUCUGCUGUGUGUUCAUGCUGUUCCUGGUGAACGUAGUUCCAGCUGCAGGUUCUACCACAGAACUCCUGUCAUGCUGCUUUCAGCAGCUUGGUAAUAGAUCAGUGGUGUACAUACUGAACAACACCGUGGAGUCCGAUUUCACACAGUGGACCAGAAACAAGACACCCAUUAAGGAUGAACAUGGCAAUGUGGACAAGAGCAUUGUCAUAGGCUAUGGUCAGAACUGGAUCACUCUAAAUCAGAGUUACUUAGACAUUGUAUUCUACUUUCAGACAUAUGAUAUGAUGAAAAAUCAAGAAGUUCAAUGUACAGAUUUGUGUGAACCGGGAUCAGCUAACCUUCCGAUUGGAGAGAAGCAUGAGACAAAUCAGCGUGAUGGAGGUGACGGAGGUUUGUAUCACACGCAGAUAAACUUUGUUAUUUCUUGCAGCAGAUUGUUUUAGGAAUAGACAUAUGGUAUAUUUACAAAAAUUAUAUUUGUUGCCAGCGGUUUAGACAUUAAUGGCUGUGUGUUGAGUUAUUUUAAGGGGACAGCAAAUUUACACUGUUCCACAAGCUGUACACUCACUACUUUACAUUGUAGCAAAGUGUCAUGUCUUCAGUGUUGUCACAUGAAAAGAUAUUAUCAAAUAUUUAUAAAAAUGUGAGGGGUGUACUCACUUUUGAGAUAUACUGUGUGUGUGUGUGUAUAUAUA
ensembl:lncRNA